UUCCCCCCGAAGCCACGCCUCCAGAGUACAGGAACGCGCAAUGCUUGUUCACGAGCAGGAAAGUGCACGAGCUCUGUUCUGGUUCACGAGCACGAAGGUGCACGAGCGCUGUUCUGACCUGUCCAUGGUUCUGAAAGCAAGCAUCGAUUGGCUUUGGCUAACUUUUGCUAACUUUUUCUCAUGGCGGAUUCACAGAGCUCCCAUGAUGAGAGCCUCGCUGGCUCUGAUUGUGAUUACACGCCGCCGGAGCCAUCCACAUCCAGAGGGCAACGUCAGCGACAGGUGAGAGGAGCACGGGGGGGGCUGAGGAGGAGGCAGAGGCAAGGCACGCGGAGAUCUGACAGGGGGUCUAGAGUUGAAGAGUUGAAGAGCUACAAGCCCAAAGGAUGGCAAGAGAGGAGGCCAGGAUUGAAACACUAAGUCUAGAACAGAGCCUUCAGCUGCUACGGCUCAGCCUGAGACGUGACCCCAGUCAGAUGUUUGAUCUGCUAGACCAAACAUUUGGUACCCCUCCACCAGGCCUCCCAGUUCCAGGCCAACCCACCUGGUGUGUCUGCUCAAACUGCUGGGAAAUGCCCACUGAUCUAGAGAGAAAAUGCUGUGGACAACAUCCAGAUUCAUGCAUCUCAAUGCUGCCACACCUAUUUAUUUUGUCGGAGGGGGUUCUUCGCCUUGCUAGAAGAAUCUGGAACGAUGUCCGGGCAGUUACGCAGCAUACAGACAGUAUGUUGUGUGGCAGUAUGGCGCACUUGGUCAUGGUCGGCGUGUCGUCAUACCCAGUUGCUGCGUUUGGAGGAUUCGGCAGUGUUUUCCAGAUCCACUUGGGCAAUAUAAAGGGUUUGUCCCGAGUAGAGUUUAGUAAAUCUGGUAGCUAUGUACAUAGUUAGCUUUAUUUAUUUCAUUUAUGCACGUCUCAGUUUUGUUCUGCACCCUGUUUGACUUUGUUUGGUCAUCGUUCUUAAAUCAUCAAUGCAUAGGCAAUAAAUCUCUGUUUAUUUCAAAGAACUAUCUGAUUGUGUUCUUCUGAACAUACAUUUUACCUUGCCAUCCCUGCUCAUUCAUUAGAAAUGAUCAAAAAAGCCAAACAACCAAAAUUGUGUUAACAACUGUUUAUUGAGA